UACAGAGGGUGCAAGCGUUAAUCGGAAUUACUGGGCGUAAAGCGUGCGUAGACGGUUAUGUAAGUCAGAUGUGAAAGCCCAGGGCUCAACCUUGGAAUUGCGAUGGAGACUGCAAGGCUAGAAUCUGGCAGAGGGGGGGGUAGAAUUCCACGUGUAGCAGUGAAAUGCGUAGAGAUGUGGAGGAAUACCGAUGGCGAAGGCAGCCCCCUGGAUAACACUGACGCUCAUGCACGAAAGCGUGGGGAGCAAACAGG
rnacentral:rRNA from 1 species